rnacentral:tRNA from 2 species
CCGCCUAUAGCUCAGCUGGUAGAGCAGGUCGCUCUUAACGACAAGGUCCCAGGUUCGAUCCCUGGUGGGCGGACAA